rnacentral:piRNA from 1 species
UCAUUUGGGAAAACAGCUUUUGCAGGU